rfam:Oryza glaberrima chromosome 9 Oglab09_0076_5, whole genome shotgun sequence.
AAUAAAUUGAUUCGUGGGUUGCCAUGUUACCGUACAUCUUAUAUGAACUUUUUUUAUGAUUAAUAUUUUUAUUUUUAUUAUAUGAUAAAACAUGAAUAAUACUUUAUACAUGACUUAUGUUUUUAAAUUUUUUUAAUAAUUUUCAAAUAAGACGGAUGAUCAAAGUUGGACACGGAAAAUCAUGCCUGCACUUAAA